rnacentral:rRNA from 1 species
UACAGAGGGGGCAAGCGUUAUUCGGAAUUAUUGGGCGUAAAGGGCGCGUAGGCGGCUUUUCAAGUGACGGGUGAAAUCCCUCGGCUUAACCGAGGAACUGCCUGUCAGACUGGAAGGCUUGAGACCGGGAGAGGUGAGUGGAAUUCCCAGUGUAGCGGUGAAAUGCGUAGAUAUUGGGAGGAACACCAGUGGCGAAGGCGGCUCACUGGACCGGAACUGACGCUGAGGCGCGAAAGCCAGGGGAGCGAACGGG